UACGUAGGGUGCGAGCGUUGUCCGGAAUUAUUGGGCGUAAAGGGCUCGUAGGCGGUUUGUCGCGUCGGGAGUGAAAACCUCGGGCUUAACUCGGGGCUUGCUGUCGAUACGGGCAGACUGGAGGUAUGCAGGGGAGAACGGAAUUCCUGGUGUAGCGGUGAAAUGCGCAGAUAUCAGGAGGAACACCGGUGGCGAAGGCGGUUCUCUGGGCAUGACCUGACGCUGAGGAGCGAAAGUGUGGGGAGCGAACAGG
rnacentral:rRNA from 1 species